AUUGAACGCUGGCGGCAGGCCUAACACAUGCAAGUCGAACGAGUGGCGGACGGGUGAGUAAUGUCUGGGAAACUGCCUGAUGGAGGGGGAUAACUACUGGAAACGGUAGCUAAUACCGCAUACCAUCGGAUGUGCCCAGAUGGGAUUAGCUAGUAGGUGGGGUAACGGCUCACCUAGGCGACGAUCCCUAGCUGGUCUGAGAGGAUGACCAGCCGCACUGGAACUGAGACACGGUCCAGACUCCUAGGCGAGGCAGGGGUGGGGAAUUGUGCAAAAUGCGGGCAAGCCUGAUGCAGCCAUGCCGCGUGUAUGAAGAAGGCCUUCGGGUUGUAAAGUACUUUCAGCGGGGAGGCGUUACCUGCAGAAGAAGCACCGGCUAACUCCGUGCCAGCAGCCGCGGUAAUAC
rnacentral:rRNA from 1 species